GGCGGAGUAGAGCAGCCUGGAAGCUCACGAGGCUCAUAACCUUGAGGUCGCGGGUUCAAAUCCCGUCUCCGCAU
rnacentral:tRNA from 1 species